UUUCUGUCACCCUGUGUUUCUUUCACUCUCUAUAUCUCUUUCUGUCAAUCUGUCACUGUUUCUUUCUCUUUCCCACUCUCUCUAUUUUAACUUUGUCUAUUUGUCUUUCUAUCUCUACGUUAAAAAAACUCCGCCCCUCACUCUCAGCGAGCUUCCUUCUGUCUAUCCAACUUCGAUUCGAACGCUUUCUGAAAGAAGAAGUGAAAAAAAAUAUGUCAAUACAACAUCAUGGAACGGCUGAGAAACAAAUAAAAAUAAGCGGAAUUAAUAAUAGAACGUAACAAAGAAACAAGAAAAGAAAAGAGAAAAGAAAGACAGGAAGGAGAGAGCACGUCUAAAACGAAGAAAAAAUAUUCAACAGAAACCAAAAGCACAAACAAAACUUCUGUAGUUCAGUUUUGUCGCGAGUUGUAUGAACUUGGAGGUGGGACCUCCAGUUAAAAAAAAAACCCUCUCUCAUCAUCAUUCGCACAUUCGUAUAGAAAAAUAUAUAACCACGCAUACCCACACACUUAUUAUAAUAUAAUAUCAUAAAAUACACAUAUUAAGGCCCCAAAAAUGGCGGAUGAACAAAGUGACCCGGGGGAAGAUACACAUUGGGAUCUUAAGUACAGGUCUGAGGAAGAAAUGGAAUUUUUUACUGAGAUGGCAUUACACGAAACACAACGUUGGAUAGAGGCUGUCACGAGACAAAAAUUCCACUACCCUGAUGACCCAAGGAAAUCUCUGGAAAAUGGUGUACUACUUUGCGAGUUGCUCAACUGUCUCAAACCAAGUUCUGUUAAGAAAAUUAACCGAUUCCCAACACCAUUGGCUGGACUGGACAAUGUCAACGUAUUCCUUGAGGCAUGUCGAAACACUUUCGGUCUAACUAACACUCAGUUAUUCGACAGCUGCGAACUACAGGACUUGUCCCAACGAGCAAUUGCAGACAAGUCAACAUAUGAAGCUCCAUCUGGGAAAAAGACAACUCAUUUGAAAGAGGAAAAUGAUCGAAGAUUGAGAAACGUUGCUGUAACAAUAUUUUUUUUGGGCAAAAGUGUGAUUGCAUUAAAUUUCAAGGGACCCCAGAUUGACCCAAAUGCAUUUGCUGGUUUAUUUGAACAUCAGCACGUUGACCUGAUCCCGGAGAAGACCUCAGCAUAUUCUAGCUCGUGGGAAAGCAAGCGAUUGCAAUCCAACAAAUAUUUCUCAAAGUCUGAUCAGUUCAGUGGAAGUAGUGGCAUUGGGAGCCGGUACACAGACGACGACCAACACAUUGGUGACAGCUCUUAUGAAUCGAUUGGUUCCAAGGGUUCUGAUGACAACCAGAGCAUAUGCAGUGAUGGAAUGCCUUCCACAACAUCUGGAAUAUACCACUUUGGAGACAGCUUGAGUUCACUACAGCAGUCAAAGAACUUUGACAGCGACAUCUAUCAUAGCUCACCAAACCUGUAUGACGAUAUCAGAAAGUCCCCAGCUUCAGCUGACAGUGCUGACGCCAUGUCCUCCAGCAGUCAUUCAUGCCAGUCCUCUGGAAGUGUGGAGGGUUCCACCCAGCGGAAACCACCAAUGCAGCGGGGAGUAUCUGUUAGCUCCAACGACCCACUGCAGUUCAUCAAACCAAAAUCAAACCCACUGGUAGAGACAGCCCAGAAACAAAUAUCACUAAGUGAGAAGAACAAGGUUACUCGUAACAGUGUUUCUUUGGAAAAUGAAGAAGACUGGUACCAAAACUUUGCUUCCUGGAAGUCUCGGAGACAGAGUAGGAAGUCUAUAUCAGUACCUGAAGAGCCAGACGAGACAUCUCAGGUAACUAAACGUUCUACGAAGACUUUCAAAGAAAUGGUUGAAGACAGAGAGAAACGGAAGAGUUUUAAAAAUUUUAAUUCCUUAGACGAUGGUACAGAAAAUAACAGUUUACCUGCCAGUGAUAGUUUCCAAAAUGAAAAUGUUUCGAGAAAAGGUGAUGCUACAACAGUGUCAGAAACAUCAAUCAGCUCCAAACGUGAGAACACUGUGAUAAAGAAUGAAAAAAGUGAUGCCAUCGAAGACAACAGCAAGAACAACAGAAGCAACAGGACCAGUGGCAACUACAACAACAAUGCCGCCAGCAACACGAACAACAACAACAUCACUGAUAAUUUCGAAGAUGACGUGUUUGCAGCCAACACAACAGAAGAACCAGUGUUGAAACUGUCAGAGGUGAAAAGUGUUGAGAGUGUAAGGAGCCCCAGGACCAAGAAUGAUGUUGAAGCAAACAACUUGAAAAACAUUGAACAAACUGCAAGACUGGAGGAGAAGCAACAACCGCUGCCCUCAGUGGAGUCUCCUUCAUUAGCGCCACCACCUCCAUCAUCACCACCAGACAGCCGAGGAAAGCAGCAGCAACAGCUAUUGCAGAACGAACUGCCUCAUCAAUCCAAAAGCAAUGAGCUGCAUUCUGAAAGCGGCCCCACCGUUUCAUCUACUCCAGUGGAGAGGAUUUCUUCUCCAAGACCUGAUAAGGUCGAUUCUUCUGAAACUGAUGAAGGAUGGAUUAAAGAUGAGUGUGAGGAUUUUGUUGAGCGGACAAUUAAGAUCAGCCAAUCGUUAAGGAGCGAGAAAGGAUUUGGAUUUUUAAUUCGGGGUGGUGUGGAUCAAAACUCUCCCAUUGUUGUACAUCGGAUUGAGUUGGGAAGUGCAGCAGAUAUAUGUGAGCUUCGACCAAGGGAUUUAAUUGUUAGUAUCAAUAGAGAAGCCAUUCAACAGCACACGCAACAGAAGGUACAGCAGAUCAUUGAUAGAGCGAAUCAGCAGGGGCAAAUUGAGUUACGCGUCCGGCGAUAUCUCAGAGGAGCAACAUACAACGAAGAGGACCAAAGUAACAUCAGUGAUAAAGAUGUGGUAGUAGCAAAGCCCGUUCUUACUGUAAACAGUUCCCAGUCAGUUCCUGUUCUUGAAGAAGAGGUAACAAAAGAAACAAAAAAACGUGCUAACUAUGCAGCACCUACAACAAGAUUGACAAAAACUGAGCUUUCACCAGAGAAAAGUUCAUCAUCAGUGUCAAGUCCAACUCCAAACAUGCAAAUAAAAGCAGAUUUAGACAACAAUAAUAAUGAGUCGAUCAGUGUAAUGAAAACGACAGUCACUCAGUCCGCGCCAUUGAUUAAUCUCGAAAUCUCCGAGGCAGAAACAUCAAACUUUCCAAAGGCAACCCACCAACCCCAUCAAAGAAGUGCCAGUUCAGAUUCUGGUCUGGCAGCUUCUUCGUUAUCUUCAUCACCAGUGUCAUCAUCGUCAUCAACAUCGAUCCAGCCUCCUGCUCUCCUAAGACGCUGGCAGAAUUCGAAAACGAAAAACCAACGGCCAUCAAGUUCAGACUUGUCCAUCUCUCCUAAGAGUGAUGACACCAAUUUUGAGACUGAGCCAAAGACGGAAGCACCUCUGAAUUCCACAUUUCCUCCUCGACAUUCUGUCAAUUUGGAGACACCACCCUUGAUACAAACAAGGAAAAGAUCAGAUAGUUGUGACCAGUUGUUAUUCCAGGUGAGAGAUAUCCGUAGCUAUGCAAGAGAAAAGGAAAAUACCAGCAGAACUGCAACUUUUUUGCCAAAAUUAGAUAACCAGGUUCGAUUGCAAACAACUACUGCCAAAGACCAACCAGCCACAGAGAACCUCAUAGAGAAAGUUGAGAAGAACUCUGAUAAUUUUUCGGCACCAUUAAAGAUCCAGAUUCCCCCACAGAUACCAGUUUCGACUUCACAUUUGCAGAUUGACCCUAAAAACCAAAUGCCACAAGCAACAAUGAAUAACAAAGGAAGCAAUCUCCCGGAAUAUAAUUUCAAUGUGGAACUAACAUAUGGAGAGAAAGUGGCUGACAGAAGUUCAGAUGACGAAGGUAAAAUCUACAGGAGUUUGAUGAACAACAGCAGCCAGCUUCUGACUUCCCCUUCCAGAGAUGGAGAAGAGGACGAAGAUGAAGAGGAUGAAGCAGCAAAGGAGCAGGAGAGGAUAGAAGAGCGUGAGCAAGCUGCAUUGGAUGCACAGAAACGCACACUUGAGGAGCAGCGCAUGAUCGCACAGGAGCGGCAACUGAUUGAAGAGGAGAAAAAGAAGCGGCUCCAAGAGCAGCAGCAGCGUAAAGAAGCCGAAGAGAAAAGACGACUGCAGGAGAAGGAAGUGCUACUGCAGCAUGAGAAGGAACAAUUGGAAAAAGAGAAGCAAAGAAUAGAGGAGGAAAAACAGAGAGUGGAUGAGGACCGACGGAUGCUGCAGGAACAGAAACAGCAGUUAGAAGAAGAAAAGAAGAUGAUGCAUCGGGCCUCUUUGUCUGGCACUAUUGAGAAAGCAAUCCAACAACCAUCUUUCUCUGCUGCUCAGCCUCUGCAUUCAGACUCUUCAAGGACAAUGCAACCGCUUUCUUCUUCCCCGUCUCGUCUUUCUACGACGUCAAAUUCAAAAUAUGUUGCACCACGGCCCAGAGCAUCUUCCGAUGCUCCCCUCAAAUCAAGCCCUGUUCAAAUAAGCCCACAGACCAAACUGAUUCGGUCCACUAAAAUGGAAAGUGCUGUUUCACGUUUCUCCAAGAAUGAACCUGAUCCAAAGGAGAGUCAGCGACUUACUCGAGAAGAUUUGCUAGCAAUGAAUCGCAAACCUACUCCGAUGCAAGAAAAGCCUGAAUUCAACUCUAACCUUCCCCAUCACGUUUCACCAAUUAAGCGCGAGCCACCAAGUAAAACUGAACUUCAUUCUCUAAAUGCUGUUCCAAAAGCUCGGCACAGAGAUCCAAAAGAAUGGAUGAUAGCUCCAGAAAAUUCUGAUGCUGGUCGGAAGCCUGCUCCUUGGUUAGCGAACCGAAAAUUUGAGUUCUCUCCAUCGUCCCCCUCUUAUUCUUCAUCUCCUUCCUCUUCUUCUGUAUCCAAAGAAUAUUCUCAAGCUUCCCAACACCGAAGUCCCUACCCUGUGGACAAUGUUCCAAAAUAUAACAAUGGUGGGCUUCGGCAAGAAGGCCUUCCAAAAGAGAGCCAAGUGGGGUCACAGUCUCACUGGAUGGCUGAAAAGUCUGAGCAACGUAGACUAUCAGAUCAUUGGACGGAAGGAAAGGAAGAGCCUUGGAAAGGUCCUAGUGAUAAUAGGGCUGUGAGACCUGCAGGUGACAGAUCGAGCUAUUCACAGCGAGAUCCUACAUUUUCCAAAGUUGGGAUAAAACCAUAUGUUUACAAGCAAACAUCUAAGUUUUCCCCAGUAACCCCUGCUAUCAGCCAGUCAACUGAAAACACCUUGAAAUCCACCAACUAUCGUCAUUCGUAUGCCUCGUAUGAGGACUCUGUCAGGCCAUAUGAUGGACUCUCCCAUGGCUACUCCAGCUCGAACCUCUCCACUGCUGGUUCUUAUUCCCCACACACUUCAAAUCCAUAUGGAAGCACGUACACAAAGAACAAUAACUCAGCUCGACCAUUUCAAGGCCAGGGUGGAAUAACUGGAUUCCAGCAAAGAGAUAACUCUGCAGCAACCAAGUUACCUAAUGCUAGAUCAAUGACAUCUCUUAGCAGUGAUAAAACAGAACAAGUGUCAGUAACUGGUGUCGAGAUAUGCUCCCAUUGCCACGAGAAGUUAAUGAACACAGCUUCAAUGGCUAUUGAGACCCUGGGACUCUACUACCACGUUAAAUGUUUCCACUGCAGUGUGUGUCGCAUUCAGCUGGGUAAUGGCACCGAAGGUACAGACGUGCGCAUCCGCCAUAACAAACUGCACUGCCAGAACUGCUACAGCUGCAGCGAAGCCGGUUUAAAAUUCAGCAAAGUAUGAUGAUAGAUACAGCAUGCCAGAUCAUCAACCGAUGACAGGGUUACCAUAAUAUAAAGACAAGGUGCUGUUCAGUAGACCAGUGGAUCACGCAUUGCACACACCCCCGUUUCCCCCUUUACAUGUCUUCUGGUUCCUUGUUUUAUCUCAGGGUUAACUGUCCAACAAUUCAGCUGUUCAGAUCAUUCAGUUGGUCAUUCGAGUAAUCGGUCAGUUAUGCUACUGCCGUGAGAUGAUUUUCAUUACUUUAUUUUUCUUUUGCUUUAUGUUUCUUUCCCUUUUUUUUUUUUGCCACCGACAUUUUUUUUUACUUGUUUCUUUGUCCCUUCAUUCUUCAUGUGUUGUCGCUUUCAUCCAUUUCUUUUAUAUAAAUACUUCCUCCUUCUCUUCCUCCUCUCUUUCUCUCUCUCUUUGGUGUUUCAUUCCACAGGUAACAAUUCCAGCCAUUUGCAUGCGGUCACACUGUUAUUGUUGCACCAACGUGCAGCAUUGUCUUGUCAGAAUGUUGUCUUAACACGUCUCUUUUACAUUUGCUUGCAUGCAUGUGCAAACACGCACACACGCGUAUGCAGACAGACACAUAAAGAUAAGGUUACUAAUAAAUUAUGUAUGUAUUUAUGCGUAUAUAUAUAUAUGUGUGUGUAUUGUGAGUGUGUUAGUAAAGUGGAUUCUUUCCCAAUUCUUUGGUGUCUGGUGUGGUUGACCAGUAUGAACUGAAUGAAACUGUUAGAGUUGAGAAAAAUCAUCACAUAUGUAAAAAGUGUGAGCUUGUGUGUGUUGUUCCUUCAUUCAUUAAGAAAGAAAAUGUGGAAAGAAUUUAUAUAUGUGGAUUUGCAUGAAUGCAUACACACACAU